rnacentral:rRNA from 1 species
GAUGAACGCUGGCGGCGUGCUUAACACAUGCAAGUCGAACGAUGAAGCUGGAGCUUGCUCUGGUGGAUUAGUGGCGAACGGGUGAGUAACACGUGAGCAACCUGCCCCUGACUCUGGGAUAACAGCCGGAAACGGCUGCUAAUACCGGAUAUGCACCAUGAACGCAUGUUCUGUGGUGGGAAAGAUUUUUCGGUUGGGGAUGGGCUCGCGGCCUAUCAGCUUGUUGGUGAGGUAAUGGCUCACCAAGGCGUCGACGGGUAGCCGGCCUGAGAGGGUGACCGGCCACACUGGGACUGAGACGCGGCCCAGACUCCUACGGGAGGCAGCAGUGGGGAAUAUUGCACAAUGGGCGAAAGCCUGAUGCAGCAACGCCGCGUGAGGGAUGACGGCCUUCGGGUUGUAAACCUCUUUUAGCAGGGAAGAAGCGAGAGUGACGGUACCUGCAGAAAAAGCGCCGGCUAACUACGUG